rnacentral:rRNA from 1 species
AUGCAAGUCGAACGGAAGGCCCUUCGGGGUACUCGAGUGGCGAACGGGUGAGUAACACGUGGGUGAUCUGCCCUGCACUUUGGGAUAAGCCUGGGAAACUGGGUCUAAUACCGAAUAUGACCGCGCACUUCCUGGUGUGUGGUGGAAAGCUUUUGCGGUGUGGGAUGGGCCCGCGGCCUAUCAGCUUGUUGGUGGGGUAAUGGCCUACCAAGGCGACGACGGGUAGCCGGCCUGAGAGGGUGACCGGCCACACUGGGACUGAGAUACGGCCCAGACUCCUACGGGAGGCAGCAGUGGGGAAUAUUGCACAAUGGGCGCAAGCCUGAUGCAGCGACGCCGCGUGAGGGAUGACGGCCUUCGGGUUGUAAACCUCUUUCAAUAGGGACGAAGCGCAAGUGACGGUACCUAUAGAAGAAGGACCGGCCAACUACGUGCCAGCAGCCGCGGUAAUACGUAGGGUCCGAGCGUUGUCCGGAAUUACUGGGCGUAAAGAGCUCGUAGGUGGUUUGUCGCGUUGUUCGUGAAAACUCACAGCUUAACUGUGGGCGUGCGGGCGAUACGGGCAGACUAGAGUACUGCAGGGGAGACUGGAAUUCCUGGUGUAGCGGUGGAAUGCGCAGAUAUCAGGAGGAACACCGGUGGCGAAGGCGGGUCUCUGGGCAGUAACUGACGCUGAGGAGCGAAAGCGUGGGGAGCGAACAGGAUUAGAUACCCUGGUAGUCCACGCCGUAAACGGUGGGUACUAGGUGUGGGUUUCCUUCCUUGGGAUCCGUGCCGUAGCUAACGCAUUAAGUACCCCGCCUGGGGAGUACGGCCGCAAGGCUAAAACUCAAAGAAAUUGACGGGGGCCCGCACAAGCGGCGGAGCAUGUGGAUUAAUUCGAUGCAACGCGAAGAACCUUACCUGGGUUUGACAUGCACAGGACGCCAGUAGAGAUAUUGGUUCCCUU